UCAAAAAAUUGUGUCGCCGUUUGGAAGUCUCUUGGAAUUCAUACAGACGAAGAAGAGAUAUGAAGUAAUUGCAGCUGCCGUUGGGCGUAGUUCACGUGCAUCGAGUGCAAAUGCUGCUGUCCGACCCCUUUCAGGAGUGAAGUCCCAAAGAUAAUGCGGAUAAUUUGUAGUAGCUAUUGAGAUAAUCUUGUUCGUGCUCUGAUUUCCUUCUAUUAUAGGGCACUUCCUUGGUGUUGGUGCAGUAGGGGUUUUGGAAGCUAUUGUCAGAGUAAAAGCCAU